rnacentral:rRNA from 1 species
AUGUUGCUUACUCAAAUGUUUGUGGCGAUUGUAUCCUUGUGCCAUGAAUAUUUGUACUUAGCAGAUCAGUAUAAACAUAUUGGCUAUCUAUUUACCAAUUCAGAAUUUAAAGCACUUUAUUUUAUGGCCUUGAGUAAAAGUUCAGUCGUUGUUGGCUGGAAGACAUCUUCAAUACGCCGUCAACACGAGCUUCCCAAGAAAGAAGAUUUUGUGGAUGAUGUAAGAUAUCCACAUGUUGUAUAUGUGGAAAAACCAAAGGCUCGGGAUGUUGAUUUUUCGGAUGAAAUGAUUUAUCAGGCAAAAACUACAAGUGAAAUGGAAGAAGUAAUGCUCAAAAGCCUGAAUAGAAUUCCUUGGGAAAGGGUAGAUGUUAGCUUCAAGAGAAGUAGACAAUGGAUUUUUGCCCAUAGCACCAUUCAGGUGAAGACGUAUUUCUUGAACUCUGAUGGGGCUGAUGUGAUCUUCCACAUGAUCGACCAUUUUCUUUACUAG